AAUGCGGACGUUGCACUCAAUUGGCCAGCAGCGCAGACGAGCUUUAUAUACAUAUCUAUGGGCGCGAACCCGGGAGGUCGCGCCCAGCUUGAGCUUCCGCAUUAUUAACACUGGGCUGCGUUCAGCCCCGACAAAACGUUGCACAACGUUUAUUAAACUGAAACGGUGAUGCAUUGAACACCCUGUUGUGAUGACGCAAAAGUUGCAACUACGGUAGCUGAGGGGCCAUUCUUUGUGUUCUUUUUUAAAUGUUUCUGAAGCCUGACGAAAUCGUUAUAAAUGUGUGUUUAAUACUGUAAAAUACCCUCGAUGUUACAGUCACUGACCUUGCCGUCCAGAAUGAAAGACAACAUUCCAACUUGAACCCAUUGAGCGAGCUGUCUCUUUACUACCGCGUGGUUUUAAACAUCUUGCCGCUGAUUGGGCUGACAUUUGUGACACACCCACCAAACAAGAGAAAACGCUUCUAAAACCUGUUGCAUUCCGUUGCACACCGUUUCCAGGAAACAUGUCGUUCAACCCGGAAACCGUAGCAAAACGUUGCGCACCGGUGUGAGAUUGAACGUGCCCCUGUUAUGCUGCGUUCCAGGGAACCGGUGUUGUGUCGAACUCAGUUCCCCCUAUGUUUCCCUUUAGUGUAGUGCUUUUAUAGCGUUUUCAUCACGUUACAUUUAGAAAGAUUAAAGAUUUGAAUUGGUUAUACUAAAAAGGCAUAAUAUCAUGUAUUUUAUAAUACAAUUUAUUAAAUAUUUCAUACAUUUGACAGUUUUUUAUUAGGGUAUUUCUUUUAAAAUAUAGCCUGUCUUUUUCUCUUUUUUCUUUACUGGUUGUUUUAAAAAUGUAAUGUUUGCAUACAUAAAUAAAUAAAUAUUAUACAUAUAAUAUGAUUCAUACUGUAAAAAUAAUUGACUUACCAUUAAGAACAAUACAGAUACAUUACAGAAAUGCACACAUAUACAUCUCAGUAGCCAUUAAAACUUUAAAUAUAUAAAUAAUAAAACCUAUAACGUGAUAAAAACGCCAUAAAAACACUACACUGAAGGGAAAAAUAGGGGGAACAGACUUCGACACAACACCGGUAACCCGUAACUCACGAGUUCAAAACCACGACUCACGACUUUGAACUGGGAGUACAUUGAUCUAGUACGAGUUCACGGGUGGGAAGUCACGGGUUUGACUGCCGUUCCAGUGCACUUUCACCGGUAGAAGGUUGUAAAAACACGAGUUACAGGCUGCCUGGAACGCAUAGGGUCGUGAGUCGUGGUUUUGAAGUCGUAACUCACGAGUUUAAAAGCCUGCCUGGAACGCAGCAUUAGCUUCACUGUUAUUUUAAUUGCGAGAGACGAAAAAAUGUUUGAACAAAGAGCCUAGGUAGUGGGAAGUACACAAAAUACAUGCAGUUUUUUCUAGUGUAAUGUUUAUUAAUAUGUUGGAGGCAAUUCCUCAAAAUCUACUUUAUAAAAUAUACUAUUGUAAACAGAAUAUGGUUGGUAUAUCAACCCUUAUGAUUUGAUAAUAAUGUAUGUUUUUUUUUUCUCUUUCCCCUGUACUUUUGUUACAUCAUUUUUUUGCUGUCUAGACAUUUUUGUGGUAAGUCAUUUAUAUAACAAUCUCUGUUGCAACAUAAUACUUUUUUUCUGAACAGUUAACCUUGCACAUGAUAUUUAAAUAGUAAUGUUUAAUUUUUCUUUCUUUUGCUCUUUUGAAAACUUUAACUGCUUUAGCUAAACCUCAGCCAAAUUCCUGGUUUUGCUGGGCAACAGCACCUAUUUAAUACAAUUUUUUAUAGCGAACCCAAAGGCUCUUUUCAGAGCCAUCCACAUUGCGUCACUGAUUGGACAUCUAAUUCAUCUUUCAGCUUGCCUCUUAAAAACUGCCAGGAAACCCAAAAAAACACAGAUUCAACUAAAAAAACAAAGCCUAUAAUUUCUACCCAAAAACAACGACCCAUUUUUUUACCCCACCCAGCCAAUCUGUUGCCCUAACCCCAAAACACCGACUUUCCCCAAAACAGAACGUCCCUUUAACCUUUUGCUUUGACAGAAAGAGUGAGAGCAGAACUACCUACAGCUCCAGUGUGCCCUGCUGCCUUGAGUGUCUUCACAAAGCAACGUUGAUUAGAGGACUGCGUUGGGAAAUCAACACCAUCAACACACACAAUAAUUGACUAUAGUUUUAAAAUUACAUAAUUUCCUAUAGUCUUUUAGACUGCUUAUAAUAGAUAAUACACAUUACAGUACUUUUAAAAGUCAUUAAUAUAUCAGUAAAAAAAAAUUGUUUUAGCAAGUUCAUCUUUGAAACGUAUUACAUUUAUAUCUGAGUCUUUUCACAUUUGCCUAUACUCUACUAAUUAAUUGCAUUAGUAAUUUUGCCUUUGGUUAUCAUUUCUGUAAAAUAUUGAGGUUAACAGUUCCAUUGCUAUAGUCUUGUGUGUUUGUAUAUCUAAUUUCUUGACUGUUUUAACGGUGAAAUUUUAGUACAGUACUUUAAUAUAUCAGUAAAAUAUUCUAAGUUUGACUGUUGUUGUAACUGCUAUUUGAAUAGACUACAUUUAAAGGUCAUUAAAAUAUUUUGGUUUGCCAAGUUCCUCUUUGAAUCUUACCACAUUGUAACAUUUACCUUUAUUAAUUGAUUGCAUUACUGAUAUUGCUUUUGGUUAACAUUUUUGUACAAUAUUGGGGUUGACGGUGUUUGACAGUAUAACAGUUCAAUUGCUAUAGUUUAGUGUGUUUGUAUAUUUAAUUUGUUGACUUGUUACUGAAAUUUCAGUCCUGUACUUAAAAAGCUAAUUAAUAUAUCAGUAAUAUAUUUACAGUUUGACUCUUGUUGUAAUUGAUAUUUGAGUGCAGUACAUUUAAAGGUAAUUAAAAUAUCAGUGAAGUAUUUUGGUUUG